rnacentral:rRNA from 1 species
AGCGAACGCUGGCGGCAGGCUUAACACAUGCAAGUCGAACGGACCCUUCGGGGUUAGUGGCGGACGGGUGAGUAACACGUGGGAAUGUGCCCUUAGGUUCGGAACAACACAGGGAAACCUGUGCUAAUACCGGAUGUGCCCUUCGGGGAAAGGAUUUAUUGCCUUUGGAGCAGCCCGCGUCUGAUUAGCUAGUUGGUGAGGUAAAGGCUCACCAAGGCGACGAUCAGUAGCUGGUCUGAGAGGAUGGCCAGCCACAUUGGGACUGAGACACGGCCCAAACUCCUACGGGAGCAGCAGUGGGAAUCUUGCGCAAUGGGCGAAAGCCUGACGCAGCCAUGCCGCGUGGAUGAUGAAGGUCUUAGGAUUGUAAAAUCCUUUCACCGGGACGAUAAUGACGGUACCCGGAGAAGAAGCCCCGGCUAACUUCGUGCCAGCAGCCGC